UCGUCUAGCCCGGUCAAGGAUCCAGGCCUUUCGAGCCUGUGACGCGGGUUCAAAUCCCGCCCGGA
rnacentral:tRNA from 1 species